rnacentral:lncRNA from 1 species
AAUGUUUUUAUGUGCGUUCUGUAAUUGUUUAAGGCUCGCUUAAGCAUCGAUCGAGAUUCUCAUUUGGCCUAACACGCUAAAUGAGUAUUGUGUACACAAGGUUAGUGGCUCGAUGGGUUGAUCACCAUCGUGCACUAACAGAUUAAGAAUGUUAUAAGGAUGGGUGCUUGACAGGAGGUUAUCCGGAGCACAGUUAAGAUUACUGGAUCUGCCUGGGUGUGUCCCGAGAUCAAUAACAGAUUCUGGAUCUGACUGGGCGUGUCCCGGGAUCAGUGAAUGAGGGUAAAGAAAGCGAGUAACAAUCGAACGUACAUGGCGCGCCACAUAAUGAGGAAAAGUUUUGUCAUGCUUAGAAGUGGAUUUCUGUUUUUAAAACCUUCUAAGUUAUGAUUGUGAUAUUGGAUAAACUGUUUCGAUUAUUUCAUAAAAUAUUUCAGAAUCUCGUGCCCACUGAGUACAUUAGUACUCAGCCCAAAUUAUUUUCAAAUGUUUUCAGGUUGAUCAGUUGGUGCAGA